rnacentral:rRNA from 1 species
UGGGGAAUUUUGGACAAUGGGCGAAAGCCUGAUCCAGCAAUGCCGCGUGUGUGAAGAAGGCCUUCGGGUUGUAAAGCACUUUUGUCCGGAAAGAAAUCCUCUGGGUUAAUACCUCGGGGGAUGACGGUACCGGAAGAAUAAGCACCGGCUAACUACGUGCCAGCAGCCGCGGUAAUACGUAGGGUGCAAGCGUUAAUCGGAAUUACUGGGCGUAAAGCGUGCGCAGGCGGUUUUGUAAGACGGAUGUGAAAUCCCCGGGGCUUAACCUGGGAACUGCAUUCGUGACUGCAAGGCUAGAGUAUGGCAGAGGGGGGUAGAAUUCCACGUGUAGCAGUGAAAUGCGUAGAGAUGUGGAGGAAUACCGAUGGCGAAGGCAGCCCCCUGGGCCAAUACUGACGCUCAUGCACGAAAGCGUGGGGAGCAAACAGGAUUAGAUACCCUGGUAGUCCACGCCCUAAACGAUGUCAACUAGUUGUUGGGGAUUCAUUUCCUUAGUAACGUAGCUAACGCGUGAAGUUGACCGCCU